rnacentral:rRNA from 1 species
GGGCCCGCACAAGCAGUGGAGUAUGUGGUUUAAUUCGAAGCAACGCGAAGAACCUUACCAGGGUUUGACAUCCCGCUAACGAAGCGGAAACGCAUUAGGUGCCCUUUUAGGGAGAGCGGAGACAGGUGGUGCAUGGUUGUCGUCAGCUCGUGUCGUGAGAUGUUGGGUUAAGUCCCGCAACGAGCGCAACCCUUACGGUCAGUUGCUACGUUAAGAGCACUCUGGCCGGACUGCCGUUGACAAAACGGAGGAAGGCGGGGACGACGUCAAAUCAUCAUGCCCUUUAUAUCCUGGGCUACACACGUACUACAAUGGCGGCCAUACAACGGGUAGCGACACAGCGAUGUGAAGCCAAUCCCCAAAAGCCGCCUCAGUUCAGAUUGCAGGCUGCAACUCGCCUGCAUGAAGUCGGAAUUGCUAGUAAUCGCGGAUCAGCAUGCCG